ACUUAGUGUCUUCGCGACGGUUCCCCUCGGGGAUCAAAAGGGAAUGCGGUGAGGGACAGUUCUUUGAUCCAAGUCCCGAUUCCGCGGCUGCCCCCGCAACUGUAAGCGGCGAGUCUUUCGUCAAUUGCCACUGGGAUCAAGCCCGGGAAGGCGACGAAAGACGGUGACCCGCGAGCCAGGAGACCUGCCGCCAGUCGUGGUCACAC
rnacentral:ncRNA from 2 species